rnacentral:tRNA from 1 species
GGCGGCAUAGCCAAGUGGCAAGGCACGGGUCUGCAAAACCCCUAUCCCCGGUUCGAAUCCGGGUGCCGCCUCCA